rnacentral:rRNA from 1 species
UACGAAGGGGGCUAGCGUUGCUCGGAAUCACUGGGCGUAAAGCGCACGUAGGCGGCUUACUAAGUCAGGGGUGAAAUCCUGGAGCUCAACUCCAGAACUGCCUUUGAUACUGGUGAGCUUGAGUCCGGAAGAGGUGAGUGGAACUGCGAGUGUAGAGGUGAAAUUCGUAGAUAUUCGCAAGAACACCAGUGGCGAAAGGCGGCUCACUGGUCCGGUACUGACGCUGAGGUGCGAAAGCGUGGGAGCAACAGGG